GUUAGAGUUCUAUGCCACAAGAAAGACCGUAAUGCCUCCAAGUUCCUGAAGCGUCAGUACGAGCUCCCUAUGUCAUCAGAAUAUGAAGAUGUUACAUCAAAUCUGCCUGCUUUAUCUGAAAUCGUGAGAAGCACAUCUACCCGCUGGAGCACAACAAGCCAGAAUAGUUUCAGUUCC